AUCAAAUGAUAUUGAAUCGUAUGUUCAUCUGAAUAGCUUCUAUUUUGACACUUAUGAUUAUUACAUGGACACUUGAUUUUCUCCCCAUCCAUCCAUUGUGGAUGCAUCUUGGCAAAAUUUAUGAAAUCAUAAAUGCCUUGCAAGAAUUUCGGGUUCAAAAGGCCACCUUUAAGCCUAGCAUACAUCUAGCUUUGAUCCAAUCUCAUUAUGGACAAUAGUUG
rnacentral:misc_RNA from 1 species